rnacentral:rRNA from 1 species
GGAGGGUGCAAGCGUUGUUCGGAUUUAUUGGGCGUAAAGCGCGUGUAGGCGGUUUCUUAAGUCUGAUGUGAAAGCCCUGGGCUCAACCCAGGAAGUGCAUUGGAUACUGGGAGACUUGAAUACGGGAGAGGGUAGUGGAAUUCCUAGUGUAGGAGUGAAAUCCGUAGAUAUUAGGAGGAACACCGGUGGCGAAGGCGGCUACCUGGACCGAUAUUGACGCUGAGACGCGAAAGCGUGGGGAGCAAACAGGAUUAGAUACCCUGGUAGUCCACGCCGUAAACGAUGAGAACUAGGUGUUGCGGGUAUUGACCCCUGCAGUGCCGCAGCUAACGCAUUAAGUUCUCCGCCUGGGAAGUACGGUCGCAAGACUA